ACAUAAACACAGGUCUGGGGCAGACUGGUGCACUGUGCCCACAACCAGCAUUACUGCUUGACACAAACCCCACAACACUGGAGAUGGAAAUGGGAGGUGACCAGUGUUGGAUCAAACCCCCUUUCUCACUUUCAGCUCAUAUCUGCAGGACAGGAUUCCCCUAGAACUGCCACUUGCCCUUGCAAAGAGUUUGGAGAGGAAAAGUUGCUGUCACAAAAUCAUGAAACAAAAACAGCAUCACAUGACACAGUCAGCACAGUGAAGCCUGGACACAAGGCUGAUCUCACCAGCAACUGCCAAACAGGAGUAUCCCUGGGACCCCUGGAAGAAUUUGGGAACACAGGAGUCUAUUGGAUGGAACUCAAGUUAUAGCUAAUCAGGGGACCAGGAGAGAUGUUUCAUAGUGAAUAAAAUGAAAUUCACUUAGACCAGAUAGCUCCAUAAUAUCUUAGGAACAUUGGGUUAUGCUCUAAACCUUGAAGUUAAUUAAACUGAGAUCAUAGCCAUAUUUCAGAACAGAUGAAGAAAGAGGCUUUGACCCUAGAGGACUGAAGAGGAAGUAAUAGAAAUUCUAGUGCAUCUUACCUGUUUGAUCUUGUCCACCAUCCUCCCUUUUUAUAGAGUUUAAUAGGAUGAGUUGGUUAUUUUCCCCUAAAUUUUGUUGAAUCCCAUUAAGAGUCUUGAUAUCAGUAACUGACAAUCAGGCUCCAGUUUUGUGCCAAAUGCAGAAGAACUAACAAUAGUUGUCUUGAAGUCAUUAUUAUUUCAUCUUUAUCUUUAAAAAUAAUCAGGUCUUCCUACCAGAUUCAUCACAUCUUUAUGUUACAUAAAAUGAACACUAAGUCAAAACAUCUACCAGAACAUGAGCAAAACAAGAAUAACAAAAUCAUUGUUUAUUUCUUGAAUUUCCUGUUAUCUCAGUAUUAACUGCUUCUGCACUGACACUUAUUGAUUGAUGUUGCUUUCCGUAUUUCUAAGAUUUAACUUCUAACUCAUAUUUUCUGUUAUUACAUCAAAAAGUUUUAUCAUUAAAUACUGAAUAUUUGCAGCCACAUUACAGAUCAUGUUUCUAUUUCUUUUGCUUAAAUUUGUAUUUCUUUUGUAAACAUAUUCCAUUUGAGUUUUAACAUCAGUUUUCAAAAAAAAAUAAAAAUCAUUGAAAAAGCAUAAUCAUAUUAAGGAUAGAGAGAAAAGGAGUUGUCUUGUGCUUUUUAUCCUUUGGUGGAAGGCACUGCUGAUACUUGAUAGACAUUCUGUGCCCUUAUCUGACCUGGAUAUAAGAAACUGUGCUUUGCCUCCAGAUUUUAUUUUCUCUUGUCUGUCAUUUUCUCAAGACUUACUAUCUGCGAUAUGACAUUCUGUGCACUGAUAGAUAUUGGCAGGUCCUUAUUAAAAUUCAUUUUACAUCACCUGUUAUUACUUCAAAGAACAAAGGUCUUUUUUUGAGUCCUAAGAACUGAAAACCCAGGCUUUCUUAGAGAUGCUGAACAUGAAAACUAUGUCUUUGUUUGAUAAGCAACAUCAGAUGAUUCGUCUCUUUUCAACUCAACAACUGGUCACUGUUGAGAAUCUGCAAAACUGGCUUUUGGUUAUGUCACCUCCAGGUAUUGCUGACAGCUUACAAACUGCUAUUUGACAAUCCAUGCUUAUCCUUACCAACUUCCUACAGCAAAAGAAAUUAAAGGUACCACAUUGAGACACAGAAUUUUUUUCCAGGUGAGAUCAGGAUCUUGUUUUCUCAAUGGAAUUUGCUUCAUUUCAAUGUAAUUCUCUUUUAUUCAAGGCCAUACACUGGUAGUUAAAUGCUGUUCUCCUUUCACCUUACUCACCAGCUCCCUGUAAACUCCCAAUCACUUACACAUCCCUUGCCUUACCCUGAACAAGUCUAACACAAUUUUGUAUUAUAUGGCACCUAAAUGGAAAGAGAACAUUAGUAAAAAGUUUGUCAUCUGGACUGCACCAGGC